AAUGUACAUCACCUGCUCAGUUGAUUUAUUCAGUCGGUCAGUCGCGAGUACCUUACAGUCAGAACACAGUGGAGACGCGGUUAGCUCAGUACAGUACAGUACAGUACCAUUUCUUUACGCGCGUUAAUUUAAAUUGCUUUAAACUUGGCACUGAUUAGUGGUGUGGUAUAUUAUUUAAACAGUGAGGGGGACUGCGAAAUUUAUGAGCUCUUUCUUUGCAGGAAUGAAUCUGUGGUUGUGCCCAUCGGUCACGUAAAUCUCUAUUAACUGCAGUGUUUUAUUCAUCAAUUUAUAAAAAACGUCACUUUCAACUUUAACUAUUUAUAUUUUUUAUAUCCAAGACUGAAAAUGACGCAGAAUAGCCGUUGCAUAAUAAAAGUGACUUUCUGUGUAGUGAUACUAGUCAGCUUAGGCCAAAUUGUUAGUUGUGAACAUGAAGACGCAGAACCAACAUGUUUUAGUGAAAUUUAUUGUCAUGGACGACUACUUGAUACGAUACAAAUGGCAAAAAUUUAUCCGGAUUCAAAGAAAUUCGUCGACAUGAAAAUGAAAUACUCACCAAAUGAUACUCUGGCCAAAUUCGAUCUUUUUAUGUCAGAUUUUAAAGAGAAGAAGCCUACUAGAGAGGAUGUUCAACAUUUCGUCGAGCUUAAUUUCGAAGCAGAAGGACAAGAAUUUGAAGACUGGCGUCCAGAAGAUUGGGUGGAGCAUCCCAAGUUCCUGGAUAACAUUCAGGAUCGGGACUUUCAACGCUGGGCGAAAAAACUCAACCAUAUUUGGACAACUCUAGGGCGAAAGAUGAAAGACGAAGUGAAAAGCCAUCAAGAACAUUACAGUAUUAUUUGGAUUCCUAAUCCAGUCAUUGUCCCGGGCGGAAGAUUUAGGGAAUUUUAUUAUUGGGAUAGUUACUGGAUCCUUCAAGGGUUGAUGCUCUCGGAAAUGCAUCAUACAGCUCGAGGAAUAUUAGAGAAUUUCCUUUAUAUAGUCGAAAAAUAUGGCUAUAUACCAAAUGGUGGCAGAAUUUAUUAUCUCGCACGCUCCCAACCUCCACUUCUAAUACCCAUGGUAAACAUGUAUUACGAAUUCACUCGAGACGCGACUUUUAUACAGCAAAAUCUUCCGACAUUGGAGAAAGAAUUUGAUUACUGGAUGACUAAUCAUUCGAAAGUAGUACAUCUAGACGGAAAAAAUUAUACUCUAGCAGUUUAUGGAGACAGGUCUCAAGGACCAAGGCCUGAAUCUUAUUCGGAAGACGUUGAAAGCUCCAACAUUUUUAAGGAGCAGAACAAAAAAGAAGCUUACUAUUCCGAGUUGAAAGCUGCUGCCGAAUCAGGCUGGGACUUUUCAAGCAGAUGGUUUAUUACUAAUGCUACCAACAAAGGAAAUCUUACAAACAUCAAAACGCGAUCAAUAGUGCCCGUAGAUCUAAACGCUAUGAUUUAUUGGAAUGCGGUUCUGCUAGCUGACUUCAAUAAUUUGUUUGGAAAUGCUGAAAAGGCCAGAUAUUACAGCGAUAUCGCUGAACAAUGGAUAGAAGCUACAAAGGCUGUUCUAUGGCAUGAAGAAAUAGGCUCCUGGCUAGAUUACGACUUGCAUAAUCAAGUCAAGAGGGAUUACUUCUACCCUACUAACAUAUCACCUUUAUGGACUGGCUGUUACGAUAAAUCAGAAAAGGACAGCAUCGUUCGAAAUGUGCUCAAAUACUUGCAAAAUAAGAAGAUUCAGUACCCGGGGGGCGUGCCCAGCUCAGUGGAGCAUACAGGGGAACAAUGGGACUAUCCUAAUGCUUGGCCUCCACUCCAACAUAUGAUGAUUGUCGGCUUGAACAAUACAGGCGAUGAAUAUGCUGUGCGGUUGGCGUAUGAAUUAGCUGAAUCUUGGGUGCGGUCUAACUACAAAGCUUUCAAGGAGAAAGAUGCUAUGUAUGAAAAGUCUCCCUUUUGUUCUAGUACGACUCCACCGUAUUCGGUGUAGGCGGUGGUGGAGGAGAAUACGAGAUUCAAUUAGGUUUUGGUUGGAGUAAUGGUGUAAUCAUGGACCUCCUCUACCGAUACUCAGAUGUAUUAACAGUCGAUGACCCGUCAUUACUUUUGACAUCAAGCGUCCAGGAAGCGAAGGUUUCCAGUUCCGGUAUUAGUUCAAUUACCACAGCACUAAUAGCUUUAUUGGUGUCCUUGUCCGCAGGAUUCAUAGGAAUAUGUAUUUACAAACGAAGAACUCAGCACACGUCAUUCUUGAACGGACGAAGACCGUCAAGUACGAAAUAUACGGAACUGAGAAAUAUAAGCAAGAAAGCAAAUGCGAGCCAGUGGACUCGAAAUGUAGAAACGCUUGUGACCGAUAAGGGACGAAAAUAACUUCAAUGAUAAGAGGCAGAUCGCUACAGGACCUUUAAGAGAAUCUCCAUUAUCCGCCCAAUCAGGGUGGAGAAUAUUAUCUGAUAUAGCGACAUUUUUAUUCCAAGCUUCAUGACAGAAAUCUACGAGCACAUUAUAGGCUAUUCACUAGACGCUACAUUUUCCAUAUUUGUCAAAUCGCUUGAUUUACUCAUGAAUAUUCUCAAAUUUCACGACUGCAGCCAGUUCCGAACUCAAUCUCGAAGAUUUCUGUCAUCAGUUCACAUUACAUUACAUUUUACCAAUAAUGCCCAAGUGCUGAUAUUGUACAUCACAAAAUAUUAUUUUUCUUGUUUAAAGAAAAAACUGUUAAUUGUUCUUGCUCUAGAAUCUAUUAUUAGAAAAUAACAAAAUUUCUGCAUUUAUUAAAUUCAAAAGAUUUUAUUUCUGGGUAUAUGAUAAUGUUCUUCGGAUUAGCAUGUAAAAGAAUUUCCUAACUAAAGCAUUCAGAUCAUGCUAAUUUGUUUCAUGUUCUCACCAGCAGCUGUUACUGCUGAUAUCCUUUCGUCUAUCUACCCUGUAUAUACUGAAUGAAUGGAUUUCUGCGUUAGGACAAUUGUUUAUUUAUUUAUUUUAACUAAUAACGUUCGUACAUCGACUACUAAAAAGCAUUUUGACAUUUUUCCUAUUUGGUUUAAUUGCUUAAGGUUUACCUCGUUUAUCGAAUCUCAUAAGCAUUUGUUUAAUAGUCUUUAAUUUGAUUCAUGGCAUUAAUAUAAAUAUAAUUAGUAUCUAUUAGACGAAUUGUAGGUAAAAGAUUUGACGAAAAAUAAUGUAGGAACCAUGUGAUAUGUGCAUUAUUUCAGCCAUAUAUAGUAUUUUAAAUAAAAUUGUUUAUUGCACA
rnacentral:misc_RNA from 1 species